GGGGGGGGGGGGGGGGGGGGGGGGGGGGGGGGGGGGGGGGGGGGGGGGGGGGGGGGGGGGGGGGGGGGGGGGGGGGGGGGGGGGGGGGGGGGCGGCGGAUGCAAAUGGCUCAUUUCAGAAACCUGUCUUGACAAAGUGGAAGGAUAGAAUUUGAUUUUUGAGAGCUCUCUGAUCAGUGUUUCUAGGGUUUUGGUGUCAUUACCUUCUUUCUUUCCCCUCCGUUAUAUAUAUAUAUAUAUAUAUAUAUAUAAAAUAUAUUUCCCCUCAUUAUACAUAUUUUUGUCUAUGCUUAUCCUUAUUUUCCUACCUGUGCUGUGGCCAGGAGGAUGUACAGAACCAAACAACGUACAGGUUUGGUGAUGAUGGGACGUCAGAGGAACACUCGGAUGCAUAGAAACACCUGCCAGCAAGAGCAGGAAUGUAAAAAAUGGAUACUCGUGCUUUCAGGAGUCGUUCCCAGCUUCCAAAAUGCACGGGGAGAGGAGAGAGGGAGGAAGGAAGAAAAGAGACCAUUUCCCACGAGGCAGACCACCAGCUCCACAGGUGACAGCAGUGCUGAGGCUCCCAAGCGCCUGCCCUGCAGCAGCCCAGAGGAAAAGCAUGAAGGAAGCAACCUUCCUUGCCAAGGUGCAGCCCUUCCCCAAUUGUUGUGUCUUUUAUUAGUAUUACUAUCCUUAAAAAUCCUCCCCAAAGCAACAACAACAACGCCCCCCCAAAAAAAAAAAACAACCCCAAAACCAACAAACAACAAACAAACAAGCAGAACAACAACCAAAAAAACCCAGCUGUCCCAGUUUUGCAGCAUCAGUCAAGGCUUUAGAGCUGCAGAAGGGUUGUGUCUGUGUGCACGGCCUGAGCCCUUCUGGGGGUUUUGUGCUCUCUCAAGACUGAGUUCAGGUUCCACAGUGUGCAAUGGGAUAGAUUUAUGUGCGUUGCACGUGCACCUAAAUUCUGCAAAGUAG
rnacentral:lncRNA from 1 species